rnacentral:lncRNA from 1 species
GGAUAGGAUACUGUUGUCUUACAUACAUCCAUGGUGGAUAAUGUUACGACCCGACACACACCGAUAGAAGAGCUCAAAGAGGCAGUUUAAACAAGGACAGUGAUCCCUGGAGCAGGCUGUUGAGCCGUGUGCCACAGCCGCUGAUGUGCAGAGGACAGUGACGUUACCAAGCACCCCCUGCUUGAUUGUCCAAGGUACUGUUGAUAUCUGGAUUUUAUAUUGAUAUUUCGAGCUGUAUGUGGUUAUUUUAAAAAUGAACAAAAAAUUCACUACAUGAUCAUUUCACAUAAUUUGUUUAUUAGUCUUUUUAAAGGC